CCUACGGGAGGCUGCAGUGAGGAAUAUUGGUCAAUGGACGAGAGUCUGAACCAGCCAAGUAGCGUGAAGGAUGACUGCCCUAUGGGUUGUAAACUUCUUUUAUAUGGGAAUAAAAUGUUCCACGUGUGGGAUUUUGUAUGUACCAUAUGAAUAAGGAUCGGCUAACUCCGUGCCAGCAGCCGCGGUAAUACGGAGGAUCCGAGCGUUAUCCGGAUUUAUUGGGUUUAAAGGGAGCGUAGGUGGAUUGUUAAGUCAGUUGUGAAAGUUUGCGGCUCAACCGUAAAAUUGCAGUUGAAACUGGCAGUCUUGAGUACAGUAGAGGUGGGCGGAAUUCGUGGUGGAGCGGUGAAAUGUUUAGAUAUCACGAAGAACUCCGAUUGCGAAGGCAGUUCACUGGACUGCAACUGACACGGAGGCUCGAAAGUGUGGGUAUCAAACAGGAUUAGAUACCCUAGUAGUC
rnacentral:rRNA from 1 species